rnacentral:tRNA from 2 species
GGUGGGGUGGCCGAGCGGUUGAAGGCGCCGGUCUUGAAAACCGGUAAGGGGUUCGCCUCUUCAUGGGUUCGAAUCCCAUCCCCACCG